rnacentral:lncRNA from 1 species
AAAAUGAGCAGUGGAUAGUUGAAAUGAACCAUCCCAAGAGCUAUGGGAACAUGUCUUAGCCUCUGGUGUGGUCGUGCAAAAAUUACAGCCAGCUAAUUGAAAAAGAUUUUUUUUUUCCUUUUUUUUGUAGAGAGAGAUCAUGCAGCAGAGUUUGAAUGUGACUCUAUCCAGAAUUUCCUUAUCUCUCUGAGUCUGCUGGGAGUCUGAAAAACUGCUCUGAGCAAAGAAGUCAAGUAUGAGCCAUUUUCAAAAGAUUUUUGAUAUAUAGAACAGAAAAGGGGAGGAAGAAAGAGUCCAGAAAAAUUCAUCUGCUGCUGUUUCAAACUCGGGGACAGCAGCCCUGCUUCAAUACUGCAGAAGCAUUUUUAUUUUCUCUUAAAAGCAGGCAUGCAGGCAGUUGAGCUCCCUCAUCUCUACUGAAAGUGGAAACCCAGAAAUUGUCCCUGAAGUCAGAUACCGAUGUAAACUGAGUGAAUACAGAACAUACAUAACAGGAUGCUACACAAUGGCAAUAAAGCACAUGUACAAUGAUCAUGG